UUGAACGCUGGCGGAAUGCUUUACACAUGCAAGUCGAGCGGCAGCGCGGGGCAACCUGGCGGCGAGCGGCGAACGGGUGAGUAAUGCAUCGGAACAUGUCCAUGUCGUGGGGGAUAGCCCGGCGAAAGCCGGAUUAAUACCGCAUACGCCCGAGAGGGGAAAGCAGGGGACCGCAAGGCCUUGCGCGAUUGGGUUGGCCGAUGUCCGAUUAGCUUGUUGGUGAGGUAAAGGCUUACCAAGGCGAUGAUCGGUAGCUGGUCUGAGAGGAUGAUCAGCCACACUGGGACUGAGACACGGCCCAGACUCCUACGGGAGGCAGCAGUGGGGAAUUUUGGACAAUGGGGGCAACCCUGAUCCAGCCAUUCCGCGUGAGUGAAGAAGGACUUCGGGUUGUAAAGCUCUUUCAGACGGAAAGAAAACGCAUCGGUGAAUACCCGGUGUGGAUGACGGUACCGUAAGAAGAAGCACCGGCUAACUACGU
rnacentral:rRNA from 1 species